UACGUAGGCAGCAAGCGUUGUUCGGAAUUACUGGGCGUAAAGAGUGUGUAGGCGGUGCUCUAAGUCUGUUGUGAAAUCUCCCGGCUUAACCGGGAGGGUGCGGCGGAAACUGGAGUGCUUGAGGGUGGGAGAGGUAAGCGGAAUUCCUGGUGUAGUGGUGAAAUGCGUAGAUAUCAGGAGGAACACCUGUGGUGUAGACAGCUUACUGGACCACUUCUGACGCUGAGACACGAAAGCGUGGGUAGCAAACAGG
rnacentral:rRNA from 1 species